AGAGAGAGACAUGCGCGCAUAUCAAUAAGCGGAGGAAAAGAAACUAACAAGGAUUCCCUUAGUAACGGCGAGUGAAGCGGGAAGAGCUCAAAUUUGAAAUCUUCAAGGUUUUACCUUGACGAAUUGUAGUUUAAAGAAGUGUUUUCUGCUGAAGUUUUGGUAAAAGUUCUUUGGAAUAGGACAUCAUAGAGGGUGAGAAUCCCGUAUUUGACCAUUAUUUUCCAGCUUUGUGAUACACUUUCAAAGAGUCGGAUUGUUUGGGAAUGCAGUCCAAAAUAGGGUGGUAAAUUUCAUCUAAAGCUAAAUAUUGGCGAGAGACCGAUAGCGAACAAGUACCGUGAGGGAAAGAUGAAAAGAACUUUGAAAAGAGAGUUAAACAGUACGUGAAAUUGUCAAAAGGGAAGCGUUUGACACCAGUGUUGUUUUCUCGAAAAUCAAUUAAAAAUGGCUCGAUUUUGUAUUGCUGAGACCUUAAAAGCUCACUGUACAUUUUUCGUGUCUUUUUUAAUGCACUUUUCGUUUAACAAGUCAACAUCAGUUUCUUUUGUUGUAAAAGGGUCAUUGGAAGGUGGCUUUCUUUUCGGAGAAAGUGUUUAUAGCCUUUGGCCUCUGCAAUCGGAAGAGACUGAGGUCUGUAGCGUAGACUCUUCGGGGUUAGAUACAUUUGUGCUAAGUUAUAGCUUUUUAUAGACAACUUGUUGACUAUAAUUAGUCUUGUAGCUUCACUCGCUUAUGCUAUUUUACCUACGCUUAGGAUGUUGAAGAUGUAGCACAUCAU
rnacentral:rRNA from 1 species